ensembl:misc_RNA 7SK 7SK RNA
GGAUGUGAGGGCCAUCUGGCUGCAAUAUCUGUCACCCCAUUGAUCGCCAAAUUGGCUGAUCUGGCUGGUGAGGUGGGUGUCUCCUUCCUCCCUCACCACCCCAUGUGUAUCUCUCCAGAAGCUGCUUGCUGGAAGAGAAUGACCUUCCCCGAUAGAGGAGGACCAUUCUUCAGAUAAGGGUCCACAAAUAGCUGCACUCCCCUGGUAGAAGCUCCAAGUAAACACUCAAGGUCCAUUUGUAGGAGAACGUAGGAUAGCAGUCAAGCUUCUAAGACCACAGACAUAUCUAAAUGAGGCAUUGUAUGUGACAGUCUGCCUUUCUUU